rnacentral:rRNA from 1 species
UACGGGGGGAGCAAGCGUUGUUCGGAUUUACUGGGCGUAAAGGGCGCGUAGGCGGCCACCGCAAGUCGGUUGUGAAAUCUCUGGGCUUAACCCAGAAAGGUCAAUCGAUACUGCGGGGCUAGAGUGCAGAAGGGGCAACUGGAAUUCUCGGUGUAGCGGUGAAAUGCGUAGAUAUCGAGAGGAACACCUGCGGCGAAGGCGGGUUGCUGGGCUGACACUGACGCUGACAGCGCGAAAGCCAGGGGAGCGAACGGG